GAUGAACGCUGGCGGCGUGCCUAAUACAUGCAAGUCGAGCGAAGCGGGGACGGGUGAGUAACACGUGGAUAACCUCCUAUACGUCUGGGAUAAAUUCGGGUACCCGGUGCUAAACCGGCUAAUUAUAGAUGGCUCCUUGCUGCAUUAGCUUGUUGGUAAGGUAACGGCUUACAAAGGCAACGAUGCAUAGCCGACCUGAGAGGGGGAUCGGCCACACUGGAACUGAGACACGGUCCAGACUCCUACGGGAGGCAGCAGUAGGGAAUCUGCCGCAAGGGACGAAAGCCUGACGGAGCAACGCCGCGUGAGUGAUGAAGGUCUGCGGAUCGUAAAACUCUGUUAUUAGGGAAGCGGUACCUAAUCAGAAAGCCACGGCUAACUACGUGCCAGCAGCCGCGGUAAUAC
rnacentral:rRNA from 1 species